GGAAUUUUGGACAAUGGGCGCAAGCCUGAUCCAGCAAUGCCGCGUGAGUGAAGAAGGCCUUCGGGUUGUAAAGCUCUUUUGUCAGGGAAGAAAAGGGAUUGGCUAAUAUCUGAUCCUCAUGACGGUACCUGAAGAAUAAGCACCGGCUAACUACGUGCCAGCAGCCGCGGUAAUACGUAGGGUGCAAGCGUUAAUCGGAAUUACUGGGCGUAAAGCGUGCGCAGGCGGUUUUGUAAGACUGUCGUGAAAUCCCCGGGCUCAACCUGGGAAUGGCGAUGGUGACUGCAAGGCUAGAGUUUGGCAGAGGGGGGUAGAAUUCCACGUGUAGCAGUGAAAUGCGUAGAUAUGUGGAGGAACACCGAUGGCGAAGGCAGCCCCCUGGGUCAAAACUGACGCUCAUGCACGAAAGCGUGGGGAGCAAACAGGAUUAGAUACCCCAG
rnacentral:rRNA from 1 species